rnacentral:rRNA from 1 species
UACGUAGGGGGCAAGCGUUGUCCGGAAUCAUUGGGCGUAAAGAGCGUGUAGGCGGCCCGGUAAGUCCGCUGUGAAAGUCCAGGGCUCAACCCUGGAAUGCCGGUGGAAACUGUCGGGCUAGAGUCCGGAAGAGGCGAGUGGAAUUCCUGGUGUAGCGGUGAAAUGCGCAGAUAUCAGGAAGAACACCCGUGGCGAAGGCGGCUCUCUGGGACGGUACUGACGCUGAGACGCGAAAGCGUGGGGAGCGAACAGG